GCGCUUGUAGCUCAGUGGAUAGAGCGUCUGGUUGCGGUCCAGAAGGUCGUAGGUCCGAUUCCUGCCAAGCGCA
rnacentral:tRNA from 1 species